AUCCAUUUGUAGUUCAUAAGCGUGAUGACUGGGUUUUCAUGUGCAUAGGUGAGAUGUGCCUCCCAGAAAUCUUGUUAUGAUGUCAGCACAUUACCCAACUGACA
ensembl:snoRNA